rnacentral:rRNA from 1 species
GUAGGUGGCAAGCGUUGUCCGGAAUUAUUGGGCGUAAAGCGCGCGCAGGGCGGUCCUUUAAGUCUGAUGUGAAAGCCCACGGCUCAACCGUGGAGGGUCAUUGGAAACUGGGGGACUUGAGUACAGAAGAGGAAAGCGGAAUUCCAAGUGUAGCGGUGAAAUGCGUAGAGAUUUGGAGGAACACCAGUGGCGAAGGCGGCUUUCUGGUCUGUAACUGACGCUGAGGCGCGAAAGCGUGGGGAGCAAACAGGAUUAGAUACCCUGGUAGUCCACGCCGUAAACGAUGAGUGCUAAGUGUUAGGGGGUUUCCGCCCCUUAGUGCUGCAGCUAACGCAUUAAGCACUCCGCCUGGGGAGUACGGCCGCAAGGCAA